CUUGGCAGCCACCCAGAGAGUAAAUGCAUACACAGAGUGGAAUAGGACUAGCAACUUGAACAUGACGAGACCAGGGAAAGUCUCCCUGAUCAAAUUACAUACAGACCCGAACCCAAAGAUGAGGAGAAACAGAAAGGUGUAGAAGAACUUUCAACGUAGAGGCAAUUGUUAUUGAAGAUGAGCCAAAGCACAAAGUAGCUUAAUAUAUCUCGUGUACCCUCGGAAAGCAGACCUGGCUCCCACGGGGCUGGAAGAGAGCAGGACCAAGAGAUUGCAGAAGAUGGCUCUGACAGAAUUAGAGGAUGUUUGACAGAAUUUAUUCUUUAGUCGAAGAGCCAUCAGAAGCCACUGAAAAGUUUUAAUCAAGGUGCGGUCAUCCUGGGCGGUCUUCUAUGUUCACUGCGGUGUUGCGCGCACGGAGCGAGCAGCGAACAAAAGAAAUACUGCAUCUGCCACUUCGCUGUCUUUCUCAAAUGGCAUUUUAGCUUAUUUUAUGAUCUGAAUUUAAGUGCUAAAAAUAUCCUGAGGAAACUGUGUGUCAAAACAACAGCUAUGCUUUCAA